rnacentral:rRNA from 1 species
UACGAAGGGGGCGAGCGUUGUUCGGAUUUACUGGGCGUAAAGGGCGCGUAGGCGGCGGGGUAAGUCUGGUGUGAAAUCUAGGAGCUCAACUCCUAAACUGCACUGGAUACUGCUCUGCUAGAGGACUGGAGAGGAGACUGGAAUUCACGGUGUAGCAGUGAAAUGCGUAGAUAUCGUGAGGAAGACCAGUGGCGAAGGCGGGUCUCUGGACAGUUCCUGACGCUGAGGCGCGAAGGCCAGGGGAGCAAAGCGGG